rnacentral:lncRNA from 10 species
CCCUCUCUGUUAAACUCAUACGUUGAAACCUAAUUGCCAAUGUGAUCCAUUUAGGAGGGGAGACCUUUGGGAGGUUAUUAAGUCAUGAGGGUGGAGCUCUUAUGAAUGGGAUGAUUGCCCUUCUAAAAGGGGCCCAAGAAAGCUGCCUUGUCCGCUUCCACCAUGUGAGAACACAGCAAGAAGUGCCAUUUAUGAACAAAGAAGUGGCCCUCACCAGAUGCUAAAUAUGUGGGUGUUUUGAUCUUGAACUUCUCAGCCUCCCAAAUGUACCGGAGAGGACUCAGGUCUUAAAAUGAAAGAAACCGGCCGGUCGCGGUGGCUCACGCCUGAAAUCCCAGCACUUUGGGAGGCCGAGGCCAGUGGAUCACGAGGUCAGGAGAUCGAGACCAUCCUGGCUAACACGGUGAAACCCCGUCUCUACUGAAAAAUACAAAAAAUUAGCCGGUGUGGUGGCGGGCGCCUGCAGUCCCAGCUACUCAGGAGGCUGAGGCAGGAGAAUGGCGUGAACCUGGGAGGCGGAGCUUGUAGUGAGCCGAGAUUGGCCACUGCACUCCAGCCUGGGCGACACAGCAAGAGUCCGUCUCAAAAAAAAAAAAAAAAAAAAGAAAGAAAGAAAGAAACCCACUAUAGUAGGACAGUCAAUUGUGGAAAAUUUAAUCUUGGCAAAAGAGUUGAAGCAGGGCGAAUAAAGAAUAUGUUGAUGUUAGGCAUAUUCCAGUUUAACUUUCUUUCACAGCACUUAACCAUCUCCAAUAUCAUAUUUUACCCUUAUUUAUUUGUUUGUUUGUAUAUCUCUCCGAAUAGAAUGUUAAGUCCAUGAGAUGGGUGCUGUGUCUAUUUGGUUCUUUCCAUAUCCUUAUCACAUAUAAUAAUGUUUGCCAUAAACUAGUACUUGAAAUAAAUAUUUGUUAAAUGAAUAAACAAGGUCAUUGAUCAAGGACUAUCUUCAUAUUUAACAAGUCUGUCUGAUGGAAAUGUAGUGGAAAGAUUCUGGUCUGGAAGUUCAAAAAUGUAUUCUGGGAGCUCUUUAAUUUGGAGCAAAUUCUUUCACUUCUCUGUGCUGAAGUUUCUUGCUGUGAAGGAAUGCUGAAAUUUACCCUUAAAAGAUAGCUGAGAGAUUAAAUGAAAUUAAUGAGAAAUCAAAAAAUAAAACCCUGGAAAUUUGAAACCAGUAAUAAUAGAUAGCACAUAGUUAUGUGUCCAAAGCAUUAUGUACAUUAACUCUUCUCCUUUUAACAAUCUCCAGAGGUAGGUACUAGUAUCUCUCCACCUUACAAAUGAGGAAACUAAGACUCAGAGACCCAGGCCAGAUAUCCCAGCUAAGUAGAGGAGGCAGAAUUCAACUUUGGUUGGCUUGACUCCAAAUUGUAUUUGCUUCCUCUUGCAGAUGAAUGCUGCUACAAUAAAGGGUAAGGUUCUUCUAUCUUUCCUGCUUUAUUGGCAAACUCAAGUUCCCAAGAUUCACAUCAUAGGGUACUGUAGCCAAACUCAUGAUCUUCUCCUUAGAGCAUUCCCCUUAAAUCCCUUCUCUUUCAUUGCCCUGGGGCUCAGACUAUACAUUUAAGAAAGAAAAGAAAUGCAGUAGCCUUGUUGUUUCUCAGUCUCUAGGUCCUGCCAGUUAACACACAUGACUUUCUCUCAUUUGAACUGCCUCUGCCUUAGUUUGGGACCCUAAAAAUCUCCCCUGGACCUUUGCUGUUCCCUCCUAACUAGUCUUAUUGCCUCAUUUCACACUUCCCAUCUGUCAUCUGCACUGUGUCAACAUGUCUGCCCAUAACUCAGAUCUUACCAUAUCACUCCCUCUUUCCCUGUCCAAGGUCCAAGCUAUCCAGCAGAAUAGACACAUACUCUAAGACUUAGUCUCUUGUCUUCCUUCUCAACCUCAACUCUACUCAUGCCCUGCCGGGCAAUAUUUCACUGCUUACUCUUCUCCUCACCUGGUAGGGGAUUCUACUUCUUGGUGUAUUUACUCAAGGUCUUUCUUCAUCCUGAAACACUACUGUACACAUUUUGCUCAUAAUUCCUU